AAAAGGUCCUCUUUCCGCCAUCUUUCCGUGCCGCCACAAUGGUGCGCCUGAAUGUCCUGGCUGAUGCUCUCAAGAGCAUCAACAAUACUGAAAAGAGAGGGAAACGUGAGGUGCUUAUUAGGCCUGCUCCAAAGUCAUCGUCCGGUACCUCACAGGCAGGCUAAACAAGUGUGGUGUGAUCAGCCCCAGAUUUGAUGUGCAUCAAAGAUCUAGAAAAUGGCAGAAUAAUCUGCUUCUGUCCCACCAGUUUGGUUUCAUUGUAUUGACAACCUCAGCUGGCAUCAUGGACCAUGAAGAAGCAAGACGAAAACACACAGGAGGGAAAAUCCUGGGAUUCUUUUUCUAGGGAUGUAAUACAUAUAUUUACAAAUAAAAUGCCUCAUGGACAAAAAAAAAUAAAA